CUUUAUUGAAACUUCGGUCGAUAUGAUUUAAUUCUAGUGGCGGACGGGUGAGUAACGCGUGGGUAACCUGCCUUGUACAGGGGGAUAACAGUCAGAAAUGGCUGCUAAUACCGCAUAAGCACACAGGACCGCAUGGUCCGGUGUGAAAAACUCCGGUGGUAUAAGAUGGACCCGCGUUGGAUUAGUUUGUUGGCAGGGUAACGGCCUACCAAGGCGACGAUCCAUAGCCGGCCUGAGAGGGUGAACGGCCACAUUGGGACUGAGACACGGCCCAGACUCCUACGGGAGGCAGCAGUGGGGAAUAUUGCACAAUGGGGGAAACCCUGAUGCAGCGACGCCGCGUGAAGGAAGAAGUAUCUCGGUAUGUAAACUUCUAUCAGCAGGGAAGAAAAUGACGGUACCUGACUAAGAAGCCCCGGCUAACUACGUGCCAGCAGCCGCGGUAAUACGUAGGGGGCAAGCGUUAUCCGGAUUUACUGGGUGUAAAGGGAGCGUAGACGGAUGGACAAGUCUGAUGUGAAAGGCUGGGGCUCAACCCCGGGACUGCAUUGGAAACUGCCCGUCUUGAGUGCCGGAGAGGUAAGCGGAAUUCCUAGUGUAGCGGUGAAAUGCGUAGAUAUUAGGAGGAACACCAGUGGCG
rnacentral:rRNA from 1 species